rnacentral:rRNA from 1 species
AUUGAACGCUGGCGGCAGGCCUAACACAUGCAAGUCGAGCGGAUGAGUGGAGCUUGCUCCAUGAUUCAGCGGCGGACGGGUGAGUAAUGCCUAGGAAUCUGCCUGGUAGUGGGGGACAACGUUUCGAAAGGAACGCUAAUACCGCAUACGUCCUACGGGAGAAAGCAGGGGACCUUCGGGCCUUGCGCUAUCAGAUGAGCCUAGGUCGGAUUAGCUAGUUGGUGGGGUAAAGGCCGACCAAGGCGACGAUCCGUAACUGGUCUGAGAGGAUGAUCAGUAACACUGGAACUGAGAAACGGUCCAGACUCCUACGGGAGGCAGCAGUGGGGAAUAUUGGACAAUGGGCGAAAGCCUGAUCCAGCCAUGCCGCGUGUGCGAAGAAGGUCUUCGGAUUGUAAAGCACUUUAAGUUGGGAGGAAGGGCAGUAAGCUAAUACCUUGCUGUUUUGACGUUACCAACAGAAUAAGCACCGGCUAACUUCGUGCCAGCCGCCGCAGUAAUAC